AUGGUUAACGGGACAAACAGAGAACUCGGAUACGUUGAAACAAGAGAAAGAAUGGAAGAAGCUGUGGGGGGUACAGGUGCCUGCCAAACUUGGAGGCGAUUGGCCCGGGCGUCUCCCCCGACGGGCCAAGAACGGGUGAGGAGGCAUAUGACAGAAGAUGCAACCUGUCCGAUCUGUUUGGCAGUUGUCGACUCAUGGAGGCAUGCUCUCCUCAACUGUAACAUGGCCAAAGGAGUGUGGUCACUCCGGGAUGAUGAUGCACUACUCCUGGUCUAUGGCGACGAGACACUGGACCCCAAGUUUUGGCUUUUCAGUCUGCGUGAUACAUUGAGCAAGGAUAAAUUCAUCUCUGUCCUAGCCACACUAUGGACAAUCUAUGACUGUGGCAUAUUCCUGGGGGCGUCCGCGGUAGUAUUUCAAGGUGUGACAGAACUUGCUACUCUGGAGGCGUGCGCGUGUAGAGAAGCUUUAGCUCUUGCGGAGGACCUGGCCGUCUCAAAAGCACGCAUUGCAUCUGACUGUCUGAGAGUCAUAAACAACCUAAAGAGCGAGCGGAACUUAGGCGAGUACUGCAUGAUCCUUUGA
rnacentral:rRNA from 1 species